rnacentral:rRNA from 1 species
GACGAACGCUGGCGGCGUGCCUAAUACAUGCAAGUAGAACGCUGAAGGAGGAGCUUGCUUCUCUGGAUGAGUUGCGAACGGGUGAGUAACGCGUAGGUAACCUGCCUGGUAGCGGGGGAUAACUAUUGGAAACGAUAGCUAAUACCGCAUAAGAGUAGAUGUUGCAUGACAUUUGCUUAAAAGGUGCAAUUGCAUCACUACCAGAUGGACCUGCGUUGUAUUAGCUAGUUGGUGGGGUAACGGCUUACCAAGGCGACGAUACAUAGCCGACCUGAGAGGGUGAUCGGCCACACUGGGACUGAGACACGGCCCAGACUCCUACGGGAGGCAGCAGUAGGGAAUCUUCGGCAAUGGACGGAAGUCUGACCGAGCAAUGCCGCGUGAGUGAAGAAGGUUUUCGGAUCGUAAAGCUCUGUUGUAAGAGAAGAACGAGUGUGAGAGUGGAAAGUUCACACUGUGACGGUAUCUUACCAGAAAGGGACGGCUAACUACGUG